rnacentral:misc_RNA from 1 species
AAUAAUUUUAAUAAACAUUUCUUCUUCUACUGAAAUGGUGCGUAGGAAUACGACGCCGUUGAGUGACUACAAUUUUUAUUAGAAUUAUUUUAAUCUUUAAUAAUAUCAGGCUAUAAGCUCCCAUUUUUCUGGCUCCCUGGUUUCUGCUCUCUUUCGAUAAUCAGUGCUAUAUUCUCUGCUUUGAUUAAGAGGUGACUUGGGGCUUGGGCUUCCAAAUAUCGGAGAAGAGGCAAAGGAAGACAAAAGUCUCAAAUUCCCAGAAAUUACAGCAAAGAACACACCCAAGCUGAGUUCCAGCAGUCCAGAACAUACCCAGGAUGUGUUCCACAGGGGCAGCAGGGUUUUUUUUAGGUCCAGAAACGUCACCAGCAGCCCUAUUUCACUUAGGAAUUCCAAUUAUGUUAAGUGGCCGCUGUGGAAAUUAGUUUAGAAUUAAUUUAGAAGCUUUCCAAGUCUUAUUAGGAUUUAUUUUUGCCUUCCUAUUUCAGUUUCCUGUUUUAAUUAGGAUUUAGGUUUGGUGUUUGGUUUGGCUUUAGACUUGUAUUAGUGUUUGGUUAGAUACCUUACUUAUCAUUUAUCCUUUUAUUUUAAAAUUUAAUCAAAAGUAAAAGAUUAUAUUAUCCUUAUCAACUUAUAACUUAAAAAAUACAUUCAAAGUAACCAAACCAAAUACCCUCUUGAUCUAGGAUUCUUAAUUUAUUUUAGUUUAUCUAAAUUUCCUAGAUAGCGGGCAUGUAUUCCUAGCUAGUUUAGGAGAAUUAUAUCUCUAUAAAUAGACCUUAAUUCUAUGUAUUUCAGUUAGAGAUUUUGAUUAAUAAAAAUACAGCAGAGGUUUUUCUCUAUUUUUCCUCUGUGUGAGACUCUGUUCUUUUAUGAGCUGCACUCUGCGUCAUAAGGCUUGCUAACUUUUAGGCUUUUCUGUGUUCUGCUGCUGAGAAAAUUUUCGAAUAUAGAAGAAAUAAGAAUUUGGGCAUUCCGUGUUUCUCCUUUUCUAACUUUUGGUAAUUGUGGGUUCACCUUAAGUAAGCCAAAUUGCUACCUUAGCAUUUAUUUUCACAUCUUCUACAUAUUUGUCCUCCAUGUUAAAACUUAUUGGCAUCUUAAAUUGAAUUUGGAAUUGCAAGCAAUAAGCACAAGGGGCAUUGCAAGUGAUCAGCUUUCUGAUUUUAUUUUUUGAGAUGCUCUUGGAUGAAUUGCCAUAUUCAACAAGCUUAUUGUUAGAGUUAUAAUUUCUUGUCACUGAAACCCUGCAACACUGCUAUUAAAAUCUAAAAGAAAGGAUUUUAAAAAAAAUGGGGAGAAUACCCCUUAAUAUUUCUGCCAAUGCUUUAAUAGUUAAUGUCUUCCAUGCGUGAUGGGCUUUUAUAGGUGCUAAUGAGCUUGAGCUUUUAUGAUUGAUGUGGUUCAGACUUGGUUGAAAAAUGGGGAAAAGGAAGUCAAGGGCAAAGCCUCCACCUAAGAAGCGAAUGGACAAGCUUGACACUGUUUUUAGUUGUCCUUUCUGUAAUCAUGGGACAAGUGUUGAAUGUCGCCUGUAAGUGUUGGUUUAUUUUCUUUUCACUCUGAUAACUGAUAAUAUUCACAAACUUUGCAUGUAUUGAUGGGAAAUUUUGUGAAAUAUUUUUUUUUCUCUUAUUGAUAUUUCACCUCUGCUAUUGAGGAAAAUCUUCUUUUGUUUUGGUUGUGUGUUUAAUAUGUACAUGCAAAAUAUACUCAAGAUUUGGGAAGAACUGUUAUAGCCAAAAGAUUAUGUAAUGAAAGGAACCUUGGUAGAAAUGGGCUACAUAUCUCAGGUUUGAUGUUCUCAAGUAUUUGAACUUAUGGUCUUGGUACAGUCUUUUAGCUUUUUGAUUUGGUUAAGGGAUUACAAGUGAAAUUUGUAACUAAGAUGCAAGCUUGGUAUUAAGUGAGGAAUGGUAAUUGGUAAUUACAUUCAAGUAGGAGGGGUGUAAAAGGCAAGUGGGAGACUGAAGGUAAUGUGCAUUGAAGUUGUAAUAGUUGAUGUGAUUUCUAAAUAUCUCAUGGAGAAUGUGGCAACAGAUAAGCUAGACUUGAGGAAAAGGAUUCAUAUAGUGUACUUAGUUAAUUGGUAUUUAGAUUUAGUUUGGUCAAGUUGAGUUGUAAAUGUCAAUGGUUGAUGCUAUUGUGAUGUUCCAAUCUAAGCUUAAUUUGUGCGCUGACAAAUGCCACAUAUAUUUCUCUCUGUUAGAACUAAAUAAUUUGUUUAUUUUUUCACUUGGCUUCAGUGAUAUGAAGAACUUGAUAGGUGAGGCUAUAUGUGGGAUUUGCCAAGAGAGCUUUAGCACUACCAUCACAGCUUUAACUGAACCCAUAGACAUAUAUAGUGAAUGGAUUGAUGAAUGUGAAAGGGUCAACAACCUUGAAGAUGAUGGUGCUUACAGAGCAGAGUAGGUUGUUGUCUCCUCUGCUUCUUUGUGGAAGAGAAAGCUUUAUGAAGUCAUUUCAUAUCCAAUCACAAUGACCUUAUUUUAGUUCUAAAGUCAGAUAUGUAAGCGUUGCAUGUAUAGUAACUAUUGGUCCAUGCUAUAUUUGAUUAAUGUAACACAUUCGGUUUUAAGGAUGAUAAACUUGUGGAAAACUGUCUUUGGGAAUAAAACUUGAUAAACUGAUGUUCUCUUAUUAGAAAAGCAGAAUCUUGUCUAAAUCAAAGUUCUCAAGCCUUUAUAUACAUAGAAGGUGGAAGAUUUGUGGGUGUGAAUUUUCAAUAUGCGGGUGGUGAUCUGUGAAAACACAAGUGGCUCAUGUGACAAGAUUGGGCAGACUGAACAGAUUUUCAACUAUUUGAUUGAAAGCUUUGCGUAACCUCCUAUAAUGUUAGGUUUUGUAGGUUGGUUUAAAUGAAGUUUUUGUCGCCUUUGUUCGCAUAUCAAGCUCCAUUGGCAGAGAUCAGUGACCAAAAACGAUACAUCUCAAAUGAAUCAAAGGGAUGAUAUUGAUUUCUGCUCUUGAAAUGCUUGAGCUUGCCAGAAUUUGUAGAACGCGAAACCGCAUCUUCUCCUGGACAGUUGCUCCAUCUCUUAACACUUUCUGCUUGAAAAAGUUGCUCUUGUUUAUCCAAAGCAUUGCCCUUUUGCUUCAGAGACUGAUAAAAAUGGUUAAGGGUUUAUUUCUGGACUAAUUGAACAAUGAUAAUAGACAUAGUUCUAAUAGUGAUGGUGUCCUAGUGAUACUGGUUUAUAUAAUGUAAUCCAUUAUAUUUUGAUUAGUG